rnacentral:rRNA from 1 species
GACGAACGCUGGCGGCGUGCUUAACACAUGCAAGUCGAGCGAUGAAGCACCUUCGGGUGUGGAUUAGCGGCGAACGGGUGAGGAACACGUGAGGAGUCUGCCUUUCACUUCGGGAUAACUCCGGGAAACCGGGGCUAAUACCGGAUAUUUUCAACUGGCGGCAUCGCCGGUUGAAGAAAGUUUUUCGGUGAAAGAUGACCUCGCGGCCUAUCAGCUUGUUGGUGAGGUAAUGGCUCACCAAGGCGACGACGGGUAGCCGGCCUGAGAGGGCGACCGGCCACACUGGGACUGAGACACGGCCCAGACUCCUACGGGAGGCAGCAGUGGGGAAUAUCGGGCAAUGGAGGAAACUCUGACCCAGCGACGCCGCGUGAGGGAUGAAGGCCUUCGGGUUGUAAACCUCUUUCAGCAGGGAAUAAGCGAAAGUGAAGGUACCUACAGAAGAAGCACCGGCUAACUAUGUGCCAGCCGCCGCCGUAA